rnacentral:rRNA from 1 species
AGUGAACGCUGGCGGUAGGCCUAACACAUGCAAGUCGAACGGCAGCACAGUAAGAGCUUGCUCUUACGGGUGGCGAGUGGCGGACGAGUGAGGAAUACAUCGGAAUCUACUUUUUCGUGGGGGAUAACGUAGGGAAACUUACGCUAAUACCGCAUACGACCUACGGGUGAAAGCAGGGGAUCUUCGGACCUUGCGCGAUUGAAUGAGCCGAUGUCGGAUUAGCUAGUUGGCGGGGUAAAGGCCCACCAAGGCGACGAUCCGUAGCUGGUCUGAGAGGAUGAUCAGCCACACUGGAACUGAGACACGGUCCAGACUCCUACGGGAGGCAGCAGUGGGGAAUAUUGGACAAUGGGCGAAAGCCUGAUACAGCCAUACCGCGUGGGUGAAGAAGGCCUUCGGGUUGUAAAGCCCUUUUGUUGGGAAAGAAAAGCAGCAGGUUAAUACCCCGCUGUUCUGACGGUACCCAAAGAAUAAGCACCGGCUAACUUCGUG